GACACUGUUGAGCAUGGAAAAACCAUUGUAAAAUAAGAACAAAUUCUUAUUUUACAAUGACGGCCUACCCCGGGACAAACCCUCCACUAACCCGGACGACACUGACAAUUGUGUGCCGCCCGAUCACGGACGGUUAUGAUACAGCCCGAGAUCGAACCCGGGUCUGUAGUGAUGCCUCUAGCACUGAGAUGCAGUGCAUUAGACUGCUGCGCCACUCACGAGGAAGUAGAUUUAAUAAUCGACUUCAAUAAGGGAUCAUAUCCUUCACCUGGUCAGCCUACGUCAACGGAUAGAGUAGUUAGGUGUUCCUAAUGUUUUGUCCACUCAGUGUAUACACUGUGUAUACUAGAUUAGGUUGCUUAGUUAGAUGUCAAAGCCCUCCUGAAUAGUGAUGUUAAACUACAGGGUUCUUUCCAAUGUAACAACGGAGUUACUCGACAUGGGAUGGUGUAUAUUUGAAUGUUUCUUCUUUCACUACUUGUUUUCCUAUCACGAACGCCUCAUCGUCCCUCUCCCUCUGCGGUAUUAAAAGCAGGGAGAUUAACACAAGCAUUUACCGAACUACCGUAUUUAAAGGGGAGGUGGGCAUCCCUGGCAAAAUGUAAAAACAAAAUGGUGUCGGGUUGGCUUUGAGUGACCUGAUAGGUGGGUUUGGACACCAGUGAUUUGUUGUCGGGUUGGCUUUGAGUGACCUGAUAGGUGGGUUUGGAAAGGUCUGUUUCCUGCGUCAACUGCUACACACUGCACUCUGCUUUCACGGGGAGAUAUGAUGCUGUUGGUUUUUGUAUAUAUGUAUUUAUGCAGUUCCAUCUUUCUGUUCUGUUGUCCUUAUAGUUCCAGACUGCUCCUUAGUUUUGUAACUGCUACUUUUUCAAAUUUCUUUUGAAGGAGACUGUUUUUUGUUGUUGUUUUUUUAGGAUGUGGAAAAUGAAAAUGGUUUAAGUUUGAGAUUUCUUUUUCCCCUUUUCUCUGCAUUCUGCAUCUGAUGCUGUGAGACUGUUGGAAACGUGAUACUGUAUGACAAUAACAAAUAAAUACACUUUGAAACAUUGUAA